CGCCCCUCGCCCAGCUCGAUGGCUUAUUGCUACUACAACGCGGUGGGAUAACAUCACUACAGAUGGAAGGUAUCAAACUGACCAACUCAUCUCAAAUACUAUGAAGAAAUGAGUUUACAAAUGACAUGAAUAGUUCAGUGUGAAACAUCAAGACAGAUCGAGAGGGUGUUUGCCUAGACCUAUAAUUUAUCCACGAUCUGGAUUAUGUUGGUAAUCAGGGGUAUGUGUCUAUGCUCUCUUAGGAAUGGAUUUCUUUGCUUUCAUGAACGGGUCAGAUACAUGGAUUUUUGUCCUCAGCACCACCAAGGUAUUCUAUGUUGGCCAGAAGAAUAAAGGAUCGUUACUCCAGUUUUCUAGCUGGUGGAGCAAUAACGGCUGCUGGAAGAUUAGUGGUCAAAGACGGAAUUUUAAAGGCAAUAUGGCCAUACAAUGGCCACUACCUUCCGACGGAAGAGAACUAUGUGUUGUGCUCUUACUGUCUGCGGGGGUUCAGUCACGUAUUCUAUGCAUAGGAUUUGUAUGCUUGUCGUCCUGACAAAAUAAUCAUUGUAUUUUUUAUUUCAAGUUUGGCUCAUGAUUAUGUUGAAUCAAUUGCAGAUUCAAAUUUGUUAUCCAAUGCUGUUCUGUGGGGCAUGCAUAUGCAAUUUUUUCUAUUUACUUAGAUCUCGUUAUGUAAUUGCAGCUGAAUCAGUGUGGUAUUUUGGUCAGUAAUUAGCCCUUGCACCGCUGAACAUGUGGGGUGUGCUUUUACCAUGUAGCUUCAUAAAUUGUAGGCAUAUCGUGGUUCUGCUGAAAUGAUCAUACCUUUGUAGCAUAUUCCAAAUUGUAACUUACUAUUACACUGGAUGAUGGUUCAAAUUAUAACUCGUAGUCUUACUGUGGGGAUCUUCAAAAUGCAUUGUUUCAAUAAUUCUAUCAGAUCCUCCUGUUAAGUCAACCUAAGAAAGUCUACCGAAUAGCUUCAUGAAUGUUCCCUCACACCUUCUAGGCAUAAUUCUAUAGAAAUAAUCAUAGCUUUGUCGAAUAUUUUAAGUUUUUCUUGUUAUUAUGGUGGAUGGUUGUUUAAAUUCUCCCGCGGGUGUUCUUCCAAGUGCAUUGUUUCAAUAUUUAUAUCAGAUCCAUCUGUUAAGUCAAUCUGGGAAUUGGCAAGCCAUCAAUAGGUUCUCUGCCCUAUAUUUUCAGAUGAAAUUUGUAUGCUAUAAGCAUGCAUAUUUUUCUUGGUAAUUGCUAUUGGAUGGGUAGGUAUCUCGCUAGCUUAGGUUAAAUCAUCUUCGUUACUGUCAUGAGUUAACUGAUAUUUUUGGAAAUUUUACGGUAGCUGCAAUUCAGUCAUACGUGUUGGCUCUCCUCUCACACUUACUUUGUGACAAGAAUGAUUUUAAGGUUCUUCUUUUUUGUCUCAUUGAUUUGUUUUCUUUGAAAUUCGAAGUCAUGAUUACCUUUUAAUUUCACAUAUGUUUUCCAUAAAAAUAAACUGCUAUCUCAUAUAUCUUGUUUACUAGCAAAACUUAUCAGUUAACAUGGUGGCUGGUGUAGAUAUUGGAAGCUAGAAUGGAAUUUGCAAUGGCAGACAAAGCUAGAGACCAAUGAAGCGUGUAUCAAAAGAUGAACAUGAUACAAAAGAGAGCCUUGAGCGAUGUUGGUUAGCCUGAUCAAUCUAUAAGUGUUAUGAAAAUAUACAAUCACCGAUCUUAUAUGUUCUUUGUUCCAUCAUAUAAUACCAGCACCAGAUUGCUUGUGCAAUUUUUCCAUGAAUUGGAUGAUGCCAGAGUUUUCACAAUCUAGAAUGGAAGAAAUCACAAUGAUUUUUCUGUUUAUUUUCUCAAGCGAUAGCCUCAUGUGUACAUUUGUUUCGAGUUAGUAGACACUAAGUUGUUUCUUUAUUUUAUUUUUUCUUACAGGUAAGUGAAAGUUUUGGGACGUUCAUAGCUAAACCCAACUCUGGGUUGUGCAUUCUGGAGCAUCUCAGUAUAUUUCCAGAAAUUUAGUUAGGACUGGACGCUCCCAAAUCAGGAGUUGUGCCGCCACCAGCAAGAACACUGGGGCUGAAGAAGCUUGUUGACAUGGACAUGAAUGGGAGAAGUCCCAAGAGGGAGAGAGAUCUCAAUAUACAGUGGUGUAGCAAAAUGGCUGAAGUUUGCUCAUUUA